ensembl:ncRNA lncRNA:CR44945 long non-coding RNA:CR44945
UGUUGGCAUCGAUUUUCCAUGCUGCUCCGUGGAGUCUCUGGCAUGGCGAACAGGAUUUCCUCUUCUGCCCCGCCGGCCGUGUAGAUACAGAUACGAAUGCUGAAAGGCAGCCUCCUGCGGCGGUCACCCAUUCAGUUUCAUUCAGCUGCACACUCGAUCAACCAGCUAGUUUGAAAAAGCCACAGUCUGGAGCAAGAAAAUGUGAAUAUGCCAGAUGGACUUUGUUUUGACUGUUCAGAGAUGGCAAAGCUAUCACAAUGCCUACACAGCGACUCAAACCCCCAAACACCCCUUUUCGAUCUGAGGUCCUGGCGAGGGAUCAUGAAUCAGGCGAGUGGCCAUAAUUCAGCCGGCAGAUAAAGCUAUUACCGCCAUUCCGGAUAAGUGCGCAGUCGGCGCAGAACGCUAGCGCUCCAAGCGGCGCUGUCCCCGUUAGAUUAGAAUUUAAAUCCGGUGGCAGGGCCCAACCACCCACCAAUCCACCCACCAACCACACACCACCCACCCAGCAACCCUGCUCUCGCAAAAGAGCGAGUACAAAGGACGCGACUCGCUAGGCCAUUAAGGAUAUCACCCCGAAUGGCCGGGAACUCCGGUUUCAGCCGUCCUGGAUGGGGCAUCGUUCCAGGCGGGUGGUUUUGCCCAUGGUGCUCCUUGUGCUCCCCGUUUCCUGGACAGCGCAGCUUAAUACAAACAUUGAAUAAAUCUCAUUGCGGCGUUUAUUUUAAUUUCUACGUAAACAUAAACUACGAGCGCCAAGGGAGCGGUCGUCCUUUUCGCGAGAUGGUGAUUUCACGCAGCAGGAUACACAGACAGGACACCGGGACACCAGCUCGUUCAGUGGAAUUUAUGCCAUUAUAUAUUCCAAUAUACCGAGCAUUUAUAAUUUCUCAUUUUAAUACGUACGAGUUAAGCUUUUAAUUAAACGCUGAUAUGAAGUACAUUGAAAUUUAUUUUGAAUCAAGACUUUAAAAAUAUAUAUUGUC